rnacentral:rRNA from 1 species
CAGCCGCCGCGGGAAUACGAAGGGGGCUAGCGUUGUUCGGAAUUACUGGGCGUAAAGCGCACGUAGGCGGAUAUUUAAGUCAGGGGUGAAAUCCCAGAGCUCAACUCUGGAACUGCCUUUGAUACUGGGUAUCUCGAGUAUGGAAGAGGUGAGUGGAAUUCCGAGUGUAGAGGUGAAAUUCGUAGAUAUUCGGAGGAACACCAGUGGCGAAGGCGGCUCACUGGUCCAUUACUGACGCUGAGGUGCGAAAGCGUGGGGAGCAAACAGGAUUAGAUACCCCCGUAGUCCCUGUCUCUUAUAC